UUGCUUUAGUAGCACAUAUACUAAAAUUAGAAUGGAACAGUAAAGACUAGCACAGCCCUGUGCAGGAGUGACACAGAAAUUUGUAAAGCAUUCUGUAUUUUU
ensembl:snRNA U6 U6 spliceosomal RNA